rnacentral:misc_RNA from 1 species
GAAAUGCGAUACGUAGUGUGAAUUGCAGAAUUCCGUGAAUCAUCGAAUCUUUGAACGCAUAUUGCGCCCAAGGCUUCGGCCGAGGGCAUGUCUGCCUCAGCGUCGGGUUAAUAUCUCCAACCACAAUCCAUGUGUUUGUGUGCUUGGGGGAACUGGCAGUCCCAGUUUAUUGCUUUACCGCAUAUAUAGCUGGGUUUGCUGAAGCGUAGAAAGGCGUGCAUGUGCCGUUAUACGGCUGCAGUUGGGUAGGCGAAGCAUUCAUGCUAGCUGCUCAUGCUUAACUGUUGGCCUGGCGUGUGCGAUUUGCCUUGCAAUGCUGGAAUGCUUGUGUAAUGCAAGCAUGAACAUAUAACUCUUAUUAUCUCGACCUGAGCUCAGGCAAGGUUACCCGCUGAACUUAAGC